UUGAUUGUAUGUUAAAAUAUGUUCAUCUCACCAUUUUGGCUGUAAUGAUAUUUCCUAAUGUAACACAAAUAUUUCAAUUGCAGUGCGAGAGAGACACAAAAAUACUUCCUGAAUAGAGAGGUGCCAAUUUUCGCGAGUGCACUCAGCGAGACAGGUCCACAUCCUGUGGACCUUUAUCCCACAUCCACCUUGAAUCUAUGGGCACCAGUAUUCCACGGGUAAAAUGUGGCAUCUGUCGGUGUAAAAUGGAUUUUGGAUUCUCCACCCACACUGAAGCAGAGAGGAUGUGGAUGAAUCUGUCAUGAGGGAUUUUUGCCACAUUCUCUAGUGCGCACGUGAAAGGGAAUUACUGACAAAGGAUGUUAAUCCUGAACACACAAUGACAAUGACUGCCCGUGCUGUAAUCUACCCGAAUGGCUGGAGAUCUUUGUGCGUGUGCAGACCAGACAAUCUAUUCUGCACAGCAGGCUGGAAGCUGUACGUCCAGGAUGUACUGCUGAGGGCUUGGUGGAAGUCAGUGCAAGAGAAAGAAAAAAACAUGUCCUGAAUCCAGAGGCGCCAAUUUUCGUGAGUGCACUCAGCGAGACAGAUGGACAUCCAGUGGACCUUUAUCCAGUGUCAAACUUAAAUCCAUGGGCACCAGUUUUCCACGGGUAAAUGGUGGCCUCUGUCAGUGUAAAAUGGAAUUUGGAUUCUCCACCCACACUGAAGCAGAGAGGAUGUGGAUGAAUCUCUGUCAUGAGGGAUUUUUGCCACAUUCUCUAGUGCGCAUGUGAAAGGAAAGUACUGACGAAGGAUGUUCAUCCUGAACACAUAAGUGAAAUGGAGCGCAGCUGGGAGGAUUUCCGUCAUCUUGAAAGGCACUGGUGUCCUUGGAGUCAGCUGCCUGCAUCUACAAUUGAAAUGAAAUGUGAGAAGAAGUCCACGGUCCUAUUUCAUAAGAUAAACAGAAGUAUAAUAGCUUUCAGAAUACGACAUAAUUAAAAUACAAAAAAAGAAGGGACGCAAGGUAAAGUGAAGGAAGACUAGCACAAUUUCGUACACACAGAUCAUUUACUAAAAAAUGCAAUUGUACUAUCCAUUAAUUUUUUCCAUUUCUAUUAUUGUUAUAAUAAAACUGGUGAGAUAAGUGCCACUACUUCAGGCUGCCAGUUGUGUAAG